CCUGCCAACAGUAUUCAAACCACAGAUACUGGGAAGAUUUCUACCUCUUUUCUUUACAGAUAAGAGUAUUGAUUACUCACUAAGGCACAUUAGUCUGGGUAUUUCUCCUCUUGCUGGUAAUAUACUCCCUCGAAAGUAUGGAAUAAACCAUCCAUCUGUACUGCAUUACCUUUUCCAAAGAAAAUUCUAUGUAGUCAUUUUCCCUGAGAAAAUAAGCAAUGACGCCAGCCAUAUUCAUAGCAAAUCUGUGAGAAAAAACAAGUUUCUGAUGUUAAAUGAGGAACUGAUGUGCAGCUGUGACUCUUGAGCAACAAUAAGAGGACUCUGUCUGGAACAGUGUCCUAAAAUAGAAGAAAAUGAGACUUCAGAAUGACCCAGCUGAAGUAGCACCUUUUUAUGAUUCACUCACAGAAACUAAUACUGCUCUAUUAGUUAGACAGCUAGACAAACGUUUGGUACUGGAC
rnacentral:lncRNA from 1 species